ACGGGCUAAUCCUGUCCAGCCGUUAGUGAGAGGCUGAGGACUGCUGUCUCCUCUCAAUAAUCUCUGAAGGUGUGGCAGCCAGUGGAAAAUUAUGCUGGCAUGGAGAAGACCAGGGCACAAGGACAAAAGUCUUGGCAAAGAGCUCCUUGCAAAGAAGCUGAAUUGAGGCCUUAACCCCAGAAGCCUACACACCAUGUCAUUCUGCCAUCCAGAAACGGGGAACAUCUGACUAUAAGGAACUUGGAAUUCACAAAGGCAGCCUUCUAUUUCUCUGCCUACACAUAUGCAAUAUAAAGCGGUCAGAACGAGCACAAAGAACAAAGUACAGGAUUGAUCCUUCUUUUAGAAAAAAGCUCCUUUUGUAAAGCAAGGUUUUGGACCCCUGCAUCUGAAUCUUUGCACACAUGAGUGACUCUAAUGGCAUUGACACCAAGCCUGAUGUGAAAUUAAGAUACAGGAGUCAACCUUUUCAUCUCCCCUUUGCACAAGACACAUAUGUUGCAAGUUUAAGUCAGAUAAUAAAAUGGUAGACCAACAACAACAAAAAACAAAAACAGAAGCAGUCACUUUAUAUCCAAGUGUCAUUUUCUCUGCACACACUACUGCAAUCUUUAAUUUUCUGAUGAUCUCUGUAAUACUUUUGAGAAGAGUAGACUUUCCUGUUGUUCAACUUUAUAACUACACAGACAUAUUCCUUUCUUUUUCUCUACCUGUUAUAAUUUUCUCAGAAAGAUCAAAUCAUUAAUGGUAUUAAGGACUUUGUGGUAGAAAUCUAUGCUGCAUAUGUUACUUACAUGAAGAAAGAAAAUCAUAAUUGGAAACUUUACAGCUAUAUACUUCAGAAGCAAAUAUAUGUGUUUCUUUAUGUUUAUUAGAUCUUCAAAACUAUUUUCUGAUGUCAUUAUCUUAAGGGGCUUUGUGUACAUGUUUAUCUAAAAGCAGAGGGUGACUUGGCAAAAAUAGAAGAGCAGAAAGAAUAUCCUUAUUAUGGUACUUCCUGCUUCCUCUAAUGAAAAAAAGAAGCUCAUUCAUUUCCUUUCGCAGUUCAUAAAUGAUAUCCAUUCUCAUAGAAAAACUUGAAAUAAAAGAGGGAUUAACUUGCUAUUAUAAAGGCUUCACUAGAUACUCCUGAAGUACAUGCAGAGAAACCAGAACUUACCUAAUUCUAUGAAAUGUUUGUUAUAUAAUAUUUAGCAGUCAACUGCAAAUGCACCAGACAGGACGUUCAGCUCUUUGCACAACUGUUAACUCACGUACAUGCCUCCUGUAGUACUUACUAUACA